GAGGCUCAUUCCAGCAUGACACACCUGCAUUCAGGACCUUGAAUCUCAUUCAUUAUGUGAUAGUGAAGCAGCUGAGAAAAAACGGAAGUGAAGACGUGCCUUCAAAAUACUAUAGUCUCUGGAUUUUCAUAAUGGAGUUCUGGAAAAGGGAAUCAGGACCAGUGUCCAGUCAAAUUGCAGCAAAAGGUCUGGCUGAUCCAGAGUGAGCUCUUGGGCUCUUUUUGCUUUGGCCUUCUUGCUGUGUCCACAGCUUCAGAGGACCCUCCAAACAUCCUGGUCAACUAAAACUUGGCCAGAUUGAGAUGGCUAGAGCAUGAGUAUAUCCUGGAACACCAUCAAUGUCUUCACCCUUGGAGAUGCAGAAUCCUCACUCCACUGUUGAGGCCUCUAGAUUCCAAGGGGUAAUUGAAACUGAUGAUUUCAAAUGAUGCCACUUAUGUCUCAUCACCUGAUGUCCUCUCCAUCGGGAACAUCUGAUGUCUCAUUUCUGUUGUGGGGCUCAUCUGUAGGCUUAUGAUGGGGGACACUGGGGCAAUCCUAGUGAAGAUUUGGCCAUUGUAGUCACAUUUUAGCCACAAAGUUACAGCAAAGUUUGCUCUCAAUGCCUCCUAUACAAGAGAAAACCAUUUUUCUGCCAAUGUUGGUCUCCUAAGUGAGUUUUCUCCACCAGUGCUCACUCUAAAACGCAGUGAAGAUAGAAAUGGAGUUCUCAAAUUCCAACCCAGCACUGGCAAUUAGAAGGUUCCUCUUCAGUUCAACUCUUUCAGAAUCAAGGUGACUCAGUAUGGAAGCAGAAAGCUAUGAGUCAGUCUUCGUUCUAGUCUCCCAGCUUCUAUGCUUCAUUUCACCUACCUGAAAACUUGACAUCUUAAUGACAACUUUGAGAGACAUAGGGUUAUGAAAAACCCGAAUUAGCUGGAGUCAUAGAAUGCAAGAAUGUGAAGACUGGCAGAAACUUAGAGACUAGCAAGUACUGUCAACCCCUCCUUUACAGAUGAAGAUAGUAAGGCUGAGGAGGGGAAGUGGUUUUCACAAAAUCACCUGGCUCCAGUCAAGACUAGACCCAGACUCUGCUCUCCUUCACGCAUUUCUGCUCCUGAUCUUGUGUGCCAUUUAGGAACCCCACAAUGGCACUGGAAAUGUUAAUGCCAAUAUGCCCAGCUGUUGUCAUAGAAUGAUAACAGGUUUUGUAGAGAUAAUGAGAAAGAAGGGGGAGGAGAGUGGCAAUAUCCGUAACUAUAUCAUUUAAAAAGUCGUAAUGUACUGUUCAGACACUGGAAAAAAGAGCAAUGGAUGAUGAUCUUGGAAGGGCUCAUCUGCAGGGUAUCACAUUCUGAAAAUUGGAGUUUAAAUGACUCCAAUUAAAAAAACAUGGACUCUAAAGGGGAAGCUAAUGUUAUGCCACCAUAAGAGAAAAUAACCUUUAAUUGUUUCUCCUUGUCCAACCAGUGGUCUCUCCGUGCAUGUGGUACCAGUCUAACGUGACUGGUGUACAUCCAACGAACAGAGGAGAGACACAAGCUGUCACACAAAUAGGCCGCCAGUUCCCCAGGCCAAGACGCUCCAGUGCCUAGCAACGUUCACACCAGAUCACUUGGCAUCUUCUUGCCAGGAAGAAAACUCUGCCCCAUUGAAAUAAACCACAAAAGCUGUAGGAAUCAGAGUGUAAGCAUAGCCCCGAUUUUCUUAUCAUCUUGGAGUCUACUAGAUGCCUCCGUGUUGGGCUGGCACGGAGAUUCACCCAGGGGCCACCCUUGGGCAGUUCUCAGCCAGACCCGGUCUUUAGGUUAUCUACCUAGAAUGGUGGUGAGGAAUCUCUAAGAAUGCUGGCCAGAUUAACCGCGGACUAGAACCCUAGACUCUCAACCCAAGAUUCAUGGAUAGACUUCGCAUGAAAUGAAAUACAAGUCCGUGUAUGUACAGAGAUUCAUUGUCCUGAGAAGAGGACUUCAGCUUCUAUGGGCUUCUCAUAGUGGUCUUGGGGACACAAAAGAUGGCUAAGCCUUGCUCCCAGCUGCUGAGAACAAGCUCUCCCUCUGGCCGGUCCACCUCACUUAGCCCAUAUGUCCUGAUGAGAGUGUCAAGCUUACAAACAGGGCAAAAGGAUGUUAGUUCAACACCUCUUUAGAAGAACACGCUAUUUUCUUCGACUUAACUGGGGCUCGAAAUAGCACAGUUCUCGUCUUGUGCCUCUGAGGGAAGUAAUGUGGUUGCUCCCUUGAGAGAGUUAAUAUGUUGAGUCUUUUCUGAACUUUCUGGCAGGAAGCUUGAAUAGUAGUCAAGGUGAGGAAGAAUGGAGGUGAGGGAGGGUGCAGUGAGUAGGGGCAAAGAUGCACACCGUCUUCUGGGUACAUAGCACCAAACAGAACAAACCCGGGGCACCACGGGGGCUGUGCAGUGUGGGAUGGGAGCACUUUUCCCUUUUUCCAGGGACUGAGGUAUAUUGGCUUACUGUUACUGUUGUCGAGAAUCACUGCUUCUUCCAACCUGGGCAAGGAAAGAGGUCGCUUGGGGAGACAUUCUCUCAUACCUCAGACUUCUGCAGGUGGGGGACACUCUUCAUGGGGUCCUUCUGACGGCCAAGUGUAGCUCUGCAGAAUCAGGGAUUUUACCCUGGUUGAGUCCAAGCUGCUUGAAGUAAAGCUCUUCAAAGAGUUUCUCUCAUUAAUCACCAAAGCCCCAAACAGUAUUUCUCCUUUUAGAAAGGGGGAUCAUGUCUCCCAGAGCAUGCAUGUUUGGCCCAAACACCCACGAUAACCGGGAGAGAGUAACCCCUGACCCAGCUGUGCUAACUCACCGUUUUCCCAGAAGAGCUCCCUGUGUUGUGUGUUUCCUUUUGAAAUGAAUAAAUAAUUCAAACACUUUCAAAAGAUAGCAAGAUUUCUUUCCCUUUACUUAACAAAAAUAAUUUGAUUCAGGAAAACGCUAGCAAUGAAGUCACCAUGUUCUUUAUAGGUUGUUUCCUUAAAAGCAACCUCCUUUCAUAAACCAGCUUAAUUUCCAAACUUUGCCACUUUCACUAAGGUCACCAUCAUUUCAUGAGUUUCACAUUUGAAACAUCUUCUGAUCAUCUCUACACAAAAGCUUUCUCCAACCACCCAGUCUAAAGAAGAGUAGUCCUCAGACACACACCAAUUAGCAUGGUUUCUUUCUUUCAUGGCACAUAUCAUGGUUUGUAAGUAUUCUUUCUUUCUCAAAAACUUUUUGUUCUCUUUUCUUUUUUCUUGUGAUAAGAACGUUUAAGAUCUACUCUCUUAGCAACUUUUAAAUAUGCAGUACAGUAUUAUUAACUAUAGUCACCAUGUUGUACAUUACAUCCCCAGGACUUAUUCCUCUUAGAACUGGAAGUUUGUACCUUUUGACCCCCUUCACCCAUUUUGCCCCCUCCCCCACCUCCCUGUACGUUUUCUUGUUUACUUGUUUUCUUUGACUGUGUCGUCCUCCAGAGUGUGCAAUAAGCUCUACCCUGGCAAGGCCCGGGCCGUCUUUCUUGCGGUAGUGCAAGCGCAGGGCCUGGCUCAGUUCCUGAAAGGAGAACGUAUAUUUGACUCCUGCUCCUCCUCUUUGUCUCUUACAUUCCAACCAGUCACCAAGCCCCACUGACAUUUUCCUUUGAAACAUCUUUCAGACUUGCCUUUCCCCUCCACGCCCAUCCCUAGCACCCCUGUGUUGUGCAGCAAAGCAUGGAGGGGUCUCUUCACUUCCAGCCUCGCUCAUUGCUAAGCUAAUGGUGCUCAACUCAUCACCCUGCAGCCUUGUCAGGAUGGUGCCACUUUCCUGCUCAGAAAUCAAGGGAGAGCUCAGGACCAGGAAUCAGGAAGGCUUGGAUUGAUUGUUUAAAGCUGAGAGAGUCACUUUCCCUUCCUGAGCCUCAGUUUCCUCAUCUGUAACAUGAAAGAUCUGGACCAGGUAAUUGUUACCACUCCUUUCCCCCGUAGAAGCAUAUGCUUCCAGGAAAACUGAAAUAGCCAAAAGUGAAAACCAGUGUGUCAAACAAGAUGAUUAAGGAACCCUGUGGGGAGAUGGCCAGACAAGAGCGGACUAGAAGGGAGAGAACCCAAGGUUUUGGGUUAGGGUUUAGGGAGGACAUCCUGAGGUCCAUCCUGGAGAUUUGUGUCUGAGCUGGAGGGAAAGAAUGGCUGGGAGGAGAAACCUAAGGGCUAUUGUCAUG